rnacentral:rRNA from 1 species
AAUAGAUACCCCGGGUAGUCCACGCUGUAAACGAUGCGAACUAGGUGUUGGUAGUAUUAAUCCGUAUCAGUGCCGCAGCUAACGCGAUAAGUUCGCCGCCUGGGGACUACGGCCGCAAGGCUAAAACUCAAAGGAAUUGACGGGGGGCCCGCACAAGCAGCGGAGCGUGUGGUUUAAUUCGAUGCAACACGAAGAACCUUACCUGGGCUUGACAUGGUCGUAGUAGUGAACCGAAAGGGGAACGAGCCUUUGGGCAGCGAUCACAGGUGUUGCAUGGCUGUCGUCAGCUCGUGUCGUGAGAUGUUGGGUUAAGUCCCGCAACGAGCGCAACCCUUGCCACUAGUUACAUGUGUCUAGUGGGACUGCCGGAGUCAAACCGGAGGAAGGUGGGGAUGACGUCAAGUCAGCAUGACCUUUAUGUCCAGGGCUACACACACGCUACAAUGGCCGGUACAAUGGGUUGCCAAGCCGCGAGGCGGAGCUAAUCCCAUCGAAAGCCGGUCUCAGUUCGGAUUGCAGGCUGCAACCG